rnacentral:rRNA from 1 species
GACGACGCUGGCGGCGUGGAUUAGGCAUGCAAGUCGAACUGUAUCAUCCUUUCGGGGGUGAGAGAGUGGCGAACUGGUGAGUAACACGUAGGUUAUCUACCCUCAAGACGGGACAACCCAGGGAAACUUGGGCUAAUACCGGAUGUGAGCAACUUUUAGUUGUUUGAAAGGUGGCGUAAGCUGUCGCUUGGGGAUGAGCCUGCGUCCUAUUAGUUAGUUGGUGAGGUAACGGCUCACCUAGGCAAUGAUAGGUAGGCGGCCUUAACGGGUGGUCGCCCACACUGGGAUUGAGAUACGGCCCAGACUCCUACGGGAGGCAGCAGUCGAGAAUAGUCUACAAUGGUCGGAAGACUGAUAGUGCGACGCCGCGUGAACGAUGAAUCCCUUCGGGGUGUAAAGUUCUUUUAUAUGUGAGCAGUGCUUCUUAUAUUAACAGUAUGGGGAGAGAGAUAUUAGCAUAUGAAUAAGCAACGGCUAACUCCGUG